CAUGGUGAAGAAGGGUGCGGCAAGCUGCAGAAAUCCUCGGCGAGACGCACGCAGUCAUUGAACCGAGGGUACCCGAAUGCGACUUCAGCAAUAAGCCCGAAAGGGCGAGCAACGCAGGGAAUUGAAACAUCUGAGUACCUGCAGGAAAAGAAAUCAACCGAGAUGCUGUCAGUAACAGCGAGUGAACGCAGUGCAAGGCAAACCGAAUGCGUAUCAGAAAUGGUAUGCAGGUGUGGUGUUACAGACCUUCUUUAUCUUCGUUUGGGAAUCAGAAGUUGCCUGAAAAGGCAUGCCAAAGAGUGUGAAAGCCACGUACGAACAACUGAGCAAGAUUGUGAGGGUAUCUUGAAUACCGCCUCUUGAAUAUGAGGUGGGAAUAUGGGAGCCAUAAACUUCCAACCUUAAAUACACGGUAAGUUCGAUAGCGUAUCCAGUACAACGAUGGAACGUUGAAAAGCACCCUUGACAGGAAGUGCAAAGAGCCUGAAACCUAAUAGCGACGGUUUGAUAGGGCACUACGGUGUUCUAUCGUACGUUUCGAAUAACGUGCCAGGAGGUUUACUUAAGUGGCAAGGAUAAACAAAAGGUAUCCAAAGCGAAAGCGAUUAGCCCGCAGCAUGCAAGGGGCAAGGUAUGAAAGUGCCUAAAGUCACUUGGGUAUGACCCGAAGCCAGGCGAUCUAACCUGAGGUAAGAUGAAGCGGAGGUAACACUCCGUGGAGGUCUGCACCGUUGCUAGAUGCAACUGCUCGCCUAACCUCUGGCUAGGGGUAAAAAGCCCAUCGAGCCUGGCGAUAGCUGGUUCCUACCGAAAUUGGCCGCAGUCAAAUCCCGGAGGAGAGUGCUGAAGUUGUAGAGCAACGGAUUGGGGAUGCAGGAACCGAAAGGUUUCGGUCUCUUGUCCAACUCCAAAGGCUUUAGCCUCGCAGAGUCCGGGGGACGGGUGAUCUGGCGUAAAGUUGAUCACCUAGAGGGGAACAACCCAGACUGCAGUUAAGGUCCCCAAAUGUCAGCUAAGUAUUAAAGGGUGAAGGGUGUAUCUCACCAAAGACAGCGAGGAGGUUGGCUCAGAAGCAGCCACCCUUUAAAAAGUGCGUAUGAAGUUGAGCGAAGCGAAACUCACUUCUCGCAAAACAGCUUACUUGUCAAGGUGGGGUGCCCCUAAAGUGGACGGGGUUAAGCUGAUUACCGACACUGCAGACUUCGAAAGAAGUGGUAGGUAGGUGUCCCCGCAGGGCAGAAGUAUGCCUGAGAAGGUGUAUGGACCUGUGGGGAAUAAGAAUCCUGGUGGUAGUAAGAUCAAAGCAACUUGAGAACAGUUGUCACCGGAAGAGCCAUGGUUCCUUGACAAUGUCGAUCAGUCAAGGGUUAGUCGGUCCUAAUCUAACUCGCAACUCGAGUGAAGAGAAGGGGAGAAGGGUUAAUAUUCCCUUACUAUCUAAGUAUGUGCGGCGACGCAAGGAUCAUUUCUGACGCUAGUGCAGAAGCUGACACAGUUUCCUGUGUUAACCAUUUGACAUCAGGGGAGUAUCGUUGCGAUGAGAACCUGAUGGACGUGGGAAUAGUCCCGCAAGGGAUUCAGCCCGCUGCAACAGUUCAUAAAAAAGGGAUGGUCAAAAAUCUUAGAUAACCGUACAUAGAACCAGCACAGGUGUCUCUAGCUGAGAAGGCUCAGGUGUGAAGAGGUAAACCGGCUGAGGGAACUCGGCAAAUUAGCCCCGUACCUUCGGUAUAAGGGGUCCCUGAACUCGUUGGCUUGACUAGCGAGGGCAGGGGGAAGAAACCAAGAGGGUCCGACUGUUUAACAAAAACGUAGCCUUCUGCUAGCCUGCAAAGGUGUGAAUAGAAGGUGACACUUGCCCAGUGCCUGUACUUUAAACUCCUUUUCAAGGGAGCUAAGAGCAGGUAAACGGCGGGGGUAACUAUAACUCUCUUAAGGUGGACAUGCUGCCUUAAGGCCCGAUAGUUUCCGAAAGGAAAGUUACCCGUGUUAAACAGGAUAGGCACAAAUGCGGAGAAUACGGGAUAAAAAUCUGGCUGUAUGCUGAAAUAUCUUUGUGAAACACACUACCUUUUUUAGGUUACAAUGUGUUGUGGAAAGACAAUCAGCAGGAAAGGCCUUUCUUUUAGGAAGGAAUCCCCAGAGACUAUACGCCAGAGCUCAUCGUUGAGCAAGAUAUAGUCCGAACCUAAUAGCAAAUCUCGUAAAUUAUUGAACUUUUGCGAGAUUUGCUAGUAUGGUAAAUCGCAUAUCCGACUGUUCAGAUAUUUGUGCGAUUUACUAUAGCAGCGAUGUUAGGAGCUAUGAAUCAUAGCCGCCUCGAUUAGAAAUUCUGAUUGAGGUCCCUAAGUAACAGACAAUGAGCGAAAUGCCUUGCCGUUUGAUUGACGGCCCGCAUGAAUAGUGUAACGAGAUCCUCAUUGUCCCCAGCCGGAACUCACUGAACACUCCGUUCUGGUGCGAAGGCCAGAGAUCUCCAGUGGGACGUGAAGACCCCGUGAAACUUUACUGUAGGUUGCUGUUGCAGCGUGAAUUUUGCUGCGUAGUGUAGGUGGGAGUCGCUAAGCCCCGGUUUUCGGAUCGGGGAUAGACAAUAAUGAAACACCACUCUUUGGAGUUUACGCUGCUCACCUCGAAAGAGGGACAGCUGCAGUUGGACAGUUUGGCUGGGGUGGCACCCUGAUGAAAAAAUAUCAUCAGGGUCCAAAGGUUGGCUCAAGGAGGUCAGAAAUCUCCUGUUGCGUACAAGGGCAUAAGCCAGCCUGACUGGAUUCCUACCAAGAUGGUAUCCAGGAUGGAAACAUUGGCCUAGCGAACCUCUUUGCCCUCUUUAUGGGGGCAAGAGAUGACCGAAAAGUUACUCCGGGGAUAACAGAGUCGUCGCGCCCGAGAGCUCGCAGUUGAAUAGAGGUAAUAUGCUAUUCACGAGUAUAUCGACGGCGCGGCUUGCUACAUCGCCGUCGGCUCCUCCUUUCCUGGCCGUGCAGAAGCGGCCAAGGGUGUGGGUGUUCACCAAUUAAAAGGGGUCGUUAGCUGGGUUCACAACGCUGUGAGGCAGUUGGUUUAAUAUCUACUGGAGAUGCAGAAAGUCUGAGGGGAAGGAUCCUUUAGUACGAGAGGAACAGGGAUCCGAAGCCAAUGGUUUACCGGUUAUCCAACAGGGUAGGCCGGGCAGCUACGCUUUAGCUGAUAAGUGCUGAAAGCAUCUAAGCACGAAGCAGCCCUCGAAAAGAGACUUUCCGGAACCCCCCUAGAAGAGGGGGUUGAUGGAA
rnacentral:rRNA from 1 species